UUUGGUGUGCCACCUCAAACACCUGAUCUCAGAAGUUCAGUGAGGUUGGGCUGUUUAGUCCUUGGAUGGAAGACUUUUUGAGACCACCAGGUACUUUAUAUCAGAU
rnacentral:rRNA from 1 species